GUUGUUGAGGAAGAUCGCGUCGAGUUUUUGGUUGAAGAGUUCGCCCGGGAUGGUGCCGGAGAAGCUGUUGUAUCGGAGGUCGAGGUAGAUGAGGUUCGGAAUUUGUAAUGUGACCGUUGGGAAGCUGCCGGAGAAGUCGUUGUUGCUGAGGUCGAGUUCUUGGAGGGCGGUGAGGUCUCGGAGAGUUUCGGGGAUUUGGCCGGAGAAUCUGUUGCUGUUGAGGUGGAUGAGAGAGAGUUGAGAGAGUAAAGAGAGCUCUUGGACGAGAUUGCCCUUGAGAUUGGCGUGGUUGAGAUCUAUGCCCGUAACUUCUUGAGAAUCAGGUGAGCAGAAAACCCCUUUGUAAGAACACACAUUCGGGCCGACCCAUGAGUCUAGAAUCUUCGAUGG
rnacentral:lncRNA from 1 species